rnacentral:rRNA from 1 species
AACGAACGCUGGCGGCAUGCCUAACACAUGCAAGUCGAACGAGACCUUCGGGUCUAGUGGCGCACUGGUGCGUAACGCGUGGGAACCUGCCCUUAGGUUCGGAAUAACUCCCCGAAAGGGGUGCUAAUACCGGAUAAUGUCUUCGGACCAAAGAUUUAUCGCCUUUGGAUGGGCCCGCGUUGGAUUAGCUUGUUGGUAGGGUAAAAGCCUACCAAGGCGACGAUCCAUAGCUGGUCUGAGAGGAUGAUCAGCCACACUGGGACUGAGACACGGCCCAGACUACUACGGGAGGCAGGAGUGGGGAAUAUAGGAAAAUGGGGGAAAGCAUGAUCAAGCAAGGCGGCGUGAGUGAUGAAGGCAUUAGGGUUGUAAAGCACUAUUACCCGGGAAGAUAAUGACAGUACCGGGAGAAUAAGCUCCGGCUAACUACGUG